rnacentral:pre_miRNA from 8 species
AUCUGAGCUGGGAGGGUCCCUCUCCAAAUGUGUCUUGGGGUGGGGGAUCAAGACACAUUUGGAGAGGGAACCUCCCAACUCGGCCUCAUUGAACUCU